rnacentral:lncRNA from 10 species
UUCUGGGGGCUGGAAAUUCAACAUCAAGGCACAAGCAGAUCAGCAGAUUCAGUGUCUGUGUGAUCCAAAGAGAGAACUGGAAUAUCACAUUUCACUGGGAAAAUCACUCCAAUAUUACUUUAGCAGUUCUGCCUCAACCAGUCAUACUGCUUAUGGACAUAGCAUGGUAUAAAUUGCUCAUGAGCCUUCAUCAACAAGUAAUUGGUUUACUUAAGUCUAAGUAAUCUAUGGUAACUCUCUGCUGGCCCUCUCUCCAAGUUCUCAAUCCCACUGGAUGAAGGCUGACAUACUCAGGACAUAAUUCUACAGGUCGAGGAGUUUCGCAGACAUAACUCCUUGGGAGCAGUGCCCAGGUCAAGAAAGAAAAUGUGGCCAAUGCCCCAGGAUCUUAUUUGGUCAUCCAGGCUGGACUGCAGUGGUGUGAUCAUAGCUCACUGCAGCCUCAAACUGCUGGACUCCAGUGAUCUUCCAGCCUCAGCCUCCCCCGGUAGCAAGGACUACAGGGUCCCAGAAGGAACCAACGCUGCCCACACCUUAAUUUGAGACUUCUGGCCUCUGAGAAAUGAGAAAGAGUCUCACUCUCUGUCGCCCAGCCUGGAGUGCAGUGGCAUCAUCUGAGCUCACUACAACCUCCGCCUCCCGGGUUCAAGCGAUUCUCCUGCCUCAGCCUCCUGAGUAGCUGGGACUACAGGCACGCGCCACCACGCCCAGCUAAUUUUCGUAUUUUUAAUAGACAUGGGGUUUCACCAUGUUGGCCAGGCUGCUCUUGAACUGCUAACCUCAAGUGAUCCACCAGCGUUGGCCUCUCAAAGUACUAGGAUUACAGUGCUAGGAGCCACCAUGCCCGGCCGCCUCUCUUUUCUUUUACACAUGAAGAAAAAGUGGUCAGAGAAGUUAACUUGGUCAGUGCCAAAAGCACUGGAAGUGAGUAGGACCAAGCUUUUCAUCUAGAUUUGUUUGUUAGACUCUAAAUCCAAAUUCACAACAAGAUCAGAAUAUGAGAAACCUAAGGAACAAAAUUCUAGGAAUCAUUUCUAGAAACUGUGGCUAUUGAAAAAGCACAGACCUAGGGAAUCAAAUUAUUUUCCCUGCCACCAGCACAUGGGUAGGCCUGUGACAAAUUCCAUGCUCUGGACCCCAGAUUCCUCAGUGAGAAUAGAAGGGGCUAGAGACAUCAGGGAAUUGGAUUUGGUGACUUUAAUACCCACUCAGCUCCAAAGCAUUCUUGAAUGAUGCACGAUUUAUGAAUAUAUAUAUUGAAAUUUACUGAUGGGUGAACAGCUCUCAACAUGAGAUUUUUGUUGUAUGCCUUAAAAAAGAUUAUACAUAAAUAUGCGUGUGUGUGUGUAUGUAUGUUUCGAUGUAUAUGAACCCAUGAUCUGAAAAAUGGCCACUGUGGCUUGUGGAAACCUAUUAAUCUCUGCUGUUCCACCCAACAUCCUCAGAGAAAAAAAUAAACAACUUUUUGAAAGUGCUGCCAUGGGGUCAGACCAAAUACUGUGGCCACUUCCAAGGGGUUUGCCUUGAUUUGCCUGGAUUCCUGUUCAUGUGACAUCUGCCUUCUAAUUCAAGGAUAUGAUCAAUUCAAUGUGUGAGUUAUCAAUCAAGGACUGGCAACAGUGAUGCUGAACAAGCCUGGUGGAAGGAAAGAGAAGGCAGGCCAGAGCCCAGACAGACGCAUUCACAAACCUUACAAAGAGGACAGGCUAAUUAGGGGCUGUAGUUCUCCCUCUCUUUAUAGUUGGUAUAAGAGGAGUGGUAAUCGUAGUGUCCAAAAAUAUAUGGGCUACAUAGUUGCUUAGUAAGCUGUGGGUAUGUGGUUUCUUCUGCAAGGUGCUUUCUUUCUGAUAAAGAGAUUACGUUGUUUGUUUGUUCAUUUAUUGAACAUAUUUACACUUACACACACACACACACACACACACAAUGUUCCAGAUACCGUACUUGGCAAUGGUAGUUAGACCUUGCUCUUGCAAAAUUUAUAAUGAAGUUGGGAAGUGUGGUUUGAUCCCUCAAAGUGUCCAAAUCCUAAUCCCCAG